rnacentral:rRNA from 1 species
UGAAUACGAGACGCUAAGGCGUCGAAGUAGUGUAUGUCAUACUUCCAAGAAAAGCUUGCACUGUCAUAGAUAAAAAACGCCUGUACCAUAACCGACACAGGUGGGUAGGUAGAGUAUACUAAGGGGCGCGAGAUAACUCUCUCUAAGGAACUCGGCAAAAUAACUCCGUAACUUCGGGAGAAGGAGUGCCUUAUUCGUAAGGUUGCAAUAACAAGAUCCAAGCAACUGUUUAUCAAAAACACAGGUCUCCGCUAAGUCGUAAGACGAUGUAUGGGGGCUGACGCCUGCCCAGUGCCAGAAGGUUAAAGAAGUUGGUUAGCAAUUGCGAAGCUGAUAACUGAAGCCCUGGUGAACGGCGGCCGUAACAAUAACGGUCCUAAGGUAGCGAAAUUCCUUGUCGGGUAAGUUCCGACCCGCACGAAAGGCGUAAUGAUUUGGAUACUGUCUCGGAGAGGGGCUCGGUGAAAUAGACUUGUCUGUGAAGAUGCGGACUACCUGCACCAGGACAGAAAGACCCUAUGAAGCUUUACUGUAACUUGAAAUUGAAAUUGGACUUUAUUCGCGCAGUAUAGGUGGGAGGCGUUGAUUAUAAUCUUGUGGGAUUAUUGGAGUCAUCAGUGGGAUACCACUCUUGUAAUGUUAGAUUUCUAACUUUGAAUCAUUAUCUGGUCAAAGAGCAGUUUCAGGCGGGCAGUUUGACUGGGGCGGUCGCCUCCUAAACGGUAACGGAGGCGUACAAAGGUUUCCUCUGAACGGUUAGAAAUCGUAUCUAGAGUGUAAAGGCAUAAGGAAGCUUGACUGUGAGACCUACAAGUCGAGCAGGGACGAAAGUCGGUCUUAGUGAUCUGACGGUACUGAGUGGAAAGGCCGUCACUCAACGGAUAAAAGUUACUCUAGGAUAACAGGCUGAUCUCCCCCAAGAGUUCACAUCGACGGGGAGGUUUGGCACCUCGAUGUCGGCUCAUCGCAUCCUGGGGCGGUAGUACGUCCCAAGGGUUGGGCUGUUCGCCCAUGAAAGCGGUACGCGAGCUGGGUUCAGAACGUCGUGAGACAGUUCGGUCCAUAUCCGGUGUAGGCGUUAGAAUAUUGAGAGGAGCCUUCUUUAGUACGAGAGGACCGAGAAGGACAUACCUCUGGUGUACCAGCUAUCGUGCCAACGGUAAACGCUGGGUAGCUAUGUAUGGAGUGGAUAACCGCUGAAAGCAUCUAAGUGGGAAGCCCACCUCAAGAUAAGUAUUCUC